AGUGAACGCUGGCGGUAGGCCUAACACAUGCAAGUCGAACGGCAGCACAGUAAGAGCUUGCUCUUACGGGUGGCGAGUGGCGGACGGGUGAGGAAUACAUCGGAAUCUACUUUUUCGUGGGGGAUAACGUAGGGAAACUUACGCUACUACCGCAUACGACCUACGGGUGAAAGCAGGGGAUCUUCGGACCUUGCGCGAUUGAAUGAGCCGAUGUCGGAUUAGCUAGUUGGCGGGGUAAAGGCCCACCAAGGCGACGAUGCGUAGCUGGUCUGAGAGGAUGAUCGGCCACACUGGAACUGAGACACGGUCCAGACUCCUACGGGAGGCAGCAGUGGGGAAUAUUGGACAAUGGGCGCAAGCCUGAUCCAGCCAUACCGCGUGGGUGAAGAAGGCCUUCGGGUUGUAAAGCCCUUUUGUUGGGAAAGAAAAGCAGCAGGUUAAUACCCCGCUGUUCUGACGGUACCCAAAGAAUAAGCACCGGCUAACUUCGUG
rnacentral:rRNA from 1 species